GCGUCUUAAGCAUGCAAGUCAAACGGGAUGUAGCAAUACAUCUAGUGGCGAACGGGUGAGUAACGCGUGGAUGAUCUACCUACGAGAUGGGGAUAACUAUUAGAAAUAGUAGCUAAUACCGAAUAAAGUCAAUUAAUUUGUUAAUUGAUGAAAGGAAGCCUUUAAAGCUUCGCUUGUAGAUGAGUCUGCGUCUUAUUAGCUAGUUGGUAGGGUAAAUGCCUACCAAGGCGAUGAUAAGUAACCGGCCUGAGAGGGUGAACGGUCACACUGGAACUGAGAUACGGUCCAGACUCCUACGGGAGGCAGCAGCUAAGAAUCUUCCGCAAUGGGCGAAAGCCUGACGGAGCGACACUGCGUGAAUGAAGAAGGUCGAAAGAUUGUAAAAUUCUUUUAUAAAUGAGGAAUAAGCUUUGUAGGAAAUGACGAAGUGAUGACGUUAAUUUAUGAAUAAGCCCCGGCUAAUUACGUGCCAGCAGCCGCGGUAAUACGUAAGGGGCGAGCGUUGUUCGGGAUUAUUGGGCGUAAAGGGUGAGUAGGCGGAUAUAUAAGUCUAUGCAUAAAAUACCACAGCUCAACUGUGGAACUAUGUUGGAAACUAUAUGUCUAGAGUCUGAUAGAGGAAGUUAGAAUUUCUGGUGUAAGGGUGGAAUCUGUUGAUAUCAGAAAGAAUACCGGAGGCGAAGGCGAACUUCUGGGUCAAGACUGACGCUGAGUCACGAAAGCGUAGGGAGCAAACAGGAUUAGAUACCCUGGUAGUCUACGCUGUAAACGAUGCACACUUGGUGUUAACUAAAAGUUAGUACCGAAGCUAACGUG
rnacentral:rRNA from 1 species